GCGCCUGUAGCUCAGUUGGACAGAGCGUCGGACUUCGAAUCCGAAGGUCGCAGGUUCGAUCCCUGCCAGGCGCACCA
rnacentral:tRNA from 1 species